rnacentral:lncRNA from 1 species
CUUUUUAAGCUCCCCUGAGCCGGUGCUGCGCUCCUCUAAUUGGGACUCCGAGCCGGGGCUAUUUCUGGCGCUGGCGCGGCUCCAAGAAGAUCCGCAUUUGCUACCAGCGGCGGCCGCGGCGGAGCCAGGCCGGUCCUCAGCGCCCAGCACCGCCGCUCCCGGCAACCCGGAGCGCGCACCGCAGGCCGGCGGCCGAGCUCGCGCAUCCCAGCCAUCACUCUUCCACCUGCUCCUUAGAGAAGGGAAGAUGAGUGAGUCGAGCUCGAAGUCCAGCCAGCCCUUGGCCUCCAAGCAGGAAAAGGACGGCACUGAGAAGCGGGGCCGGGGCAGGCCGCGCAAGCAGCCUCCGAAGGAGCCCAGCGAAGUGCCAACACCUAAGAGACCUCGGGGCCGACCAAAGGGAAGCAAAAACAAGGGUGCUGCCAAGACCCGGAAAACCACCACAACUCCAGGAAGGAAACCAAGGGGCAGACCCAAAAAACUGGAGAAGGAGGAAGAGGAGGGCAUCUCGCAGGAGUCCUCGGAGGAGGAGCAGUGACCCAUGCGUGCCGCCUGCUCCUCACUGGAGGAGCAGCUUCCUUCUGGGACUGGACAGCUUUGCUCCGCUCCCACCGCCCCCACCCCUUCCCCAGGCCCACCAUCACCACCGCCUCUGGCCGCCACCCCCAUCUUCCACCUGUGCCCUCACCACCACACUACACAGCACACCAGCCGCUGCAGGGCUCCCAUGGGCUGAGUGGGGAGCAGUUUUCCCCUGGCCUCAGUUCCCAGCUCCCCCCGCCCACCCACGCAUACACACAUGCCCUCCUGGACAAGGCUAACAUCCCACUUAGCCGCACCCUGCACCUGCUGCGUCCCCACUCCCUUGGUGGUGGGGACAUUGCUCUCUGGGCUUUUGGUUUGGGGGCGCCCUCUCUGCUCCUUCACUGUUCCCUCUGGCUUCCCAUAGUGGGGCCUGGGAGGGUUCCCCUGGCCUUAAAAGGGGCCCAAGCCCCAUCUCAUCCUGGCACGCCCUACUCCACUGCCCUGGCAGCAGCAGGUGUGGCCAAUGGAGGGGGGUGCUGGCCCCCAGGAUUCCCCCAGCCAAACUGUCUUUGUCACCACGUGGGGCUCACUUUUCAUCCUUCCCCAACUUCCCUAGUCCCCGUACUAGGUUGGACAGCCCCCUUCGGUUACAGGAAGGCAGGAGGGGUGAGUCCCCUACUCCCUCUUCACUGUGGCCACAGCCCCCUUGCCCUCCGCCUGGGAUCUGAGUACAUAUUGUGGUGAUGGAGAUGCAGUCACUUAUUGUCCAGGUGAGGCCCAAGAGCCCUGUGGCCGCCACCUGAGGUGGGCUGGGGCUGCUCCCCUAACCCUACUUUGCUUCCGCCACUCAGCCAUUUCCCCCUCCUCAGAUGGGGCACCAAUAACAAGGAGCUCACCCUGCCCGCUCCCAACCCCCCUCCUGCUCCUCCCUGCCCCCCAAGGUUCUGGUUCCAUUUUUCCUCUGUUCACAAACUACCUCUGGACAGUUGUGUUGUUUUUUGUUCAAUGUUCCAUUCUUCGACAUCCGUCAUUGCUGCUGCUACCAGCGCCAAAUGUUCAUCCUCAUUGCCUCCUGUUCUGCCCACGAUCCCCUCCCCCAAGAUACUCUUUGUGGGGAAGAGGGGCUGGGGCAUGGCAGGCUGGGUGACCGACUACCCCAGUCCCAGGGAAGGUGGGGCCCUGCCCCUAGGAUGCUGCAGCAGAGUGAGCAAGGGGGCCCAAAUCGACCAUAAAGGGUGUAGGGGCCACCUCCUCCCCCUGUUCUGUUGGGGAGGGGUAGCCAUGAUUUGUCCCAGCCUGGGGCUCCCUCUCUGGUUUCCUAUUUGCAGUUACUUGAAUAAAAAAAAUAUCCUUUUCUGG